rnacentral:rRNA from 1 species
GACGAACGCUGGCGGCAUGCCUAAUACAUGCAAGUUGAACGAUGAUAUUCUCUGCUUGCAGAGAAUUGAAGAGUAGCGAACGGGUGAGUAACACGUGGGGAACCUGCCCAUGAGAGGGGGAUAACAUUCGGAAACGGAUGCUAAUACCGCAUAAUGCUUUGGACCGCCUGGUCCAGAGACGAAAGACGGCUUUUGCUGUCACUCAUGGAUGGCCCCGCGCCGUAUUAGCUAGUUGGUGAGGUAAGGGCUCACCAAAGCUGUGAUACGUAGCCGACCUGAGAGGGUGAUCGGCCACACUGGGACUGAGACACGGCCCAGACUCCUACGGGAGGCAGCAGUAGGGAAUCUUCCACAAUGGGCGAAAGCCUGAUGGAGCAAUGCCGCGUGAAUGAAGAAGGUCUUCGGAUCGUAAAGUUCUGUUAUUAGAGAAGAACAAGUCAAGGAGUAACUGUCUUGACUUUGACGGUACCUAACCAGAAAGUCACGGCUAACUACGUG